UAAGUGAAGAGUUUGAUCCUGGCUCAGAGUGAACGCUGGCGGUAGGCCUAACACAUGCAAGUCGAACGGCAGCACAGAGGAGCUUGCUCCUUGGGUGGCGAGUGGCGGACGGGUGAGGAAUACAUCGGAAUCUACUCUGUCGUGGGGGAUAACGUAGGGAAACUUACGCUAAUACCGCAUACGACCUACGGGUGAAAGCAGGGGACCUUCGGGCCUUGCGCGAUUGAAUGAGCCGAUGUCGGAUUAGCUAGUUGGCGGGGUAAAGGCCCACCAAGGCGACGAUCCGUAGCUGGUCUGAGAGGAUGAUCAGCCACACUGGAACUGAGACACGGUCCAGACUCCUACGGGAGGCAGCAGUGGGGAAUAUUGGACAAUGGGCGCAAGCCUGAUCCAGCCAUACCGCGUGGGUGAAGAAGGCC
rnacentral:rRNA from 1 species